GAUGAACGCUAGCUCCAGGCUUAACACAUGCAAGUCGCGGGGCAGCAUGGGGGUUGCUUGCCAUCCCCGAUGGCGACCGGCGCACGGGUGAGUAACGCGUAUCCAACCUGCCCUUCACCACGGGAUAACCCGGCGAAAGUCGGACUAAUACCGUAUGUUGUCCAUUGACGGCCUCCGAUUUGGACGAAAGGCUUGGCGGUGAGGGAUGGGGAUGCGUCCGAUUAGCCAGACGGCGGGGUAACGGCCCACCGUGGCUACGAUCGGUAGGGGUUCUGAGAGGAAGGUCCCCCACACUGGAACUGAGACACGGUCCAGACUCCUACGGGAGGCAGCAGUGAGGAAUAUCGGUCAAUGGGCGUAAGCCUGAACCAGCCAAGUAGCGUGCAGGAUGACGGCCCUAUGGGUUGUAAACUGCUUUUAUGCGGGGAUAAAGUGGCCCACGUGUGGGCUUUUGCAGGUACCGCAUGAAUAAGGACCGGCUAAUUCCGUG
rnacentral:rRNA from 1 species